CCUGGCUCACGAUGAACGCUAGCUACAGGCUUAACACAUGCAAGUCGAGGGGCAGCAUGGUCUUAGCUUGCUAAGGCCGAUGGCGACCGGCGCACGGGUGAGUAACACGUAUCCAACCUGCCGUCUACUCUUGGACAGCCUUCUGAAAGGAAGAUUAAUACAAGAUGGCAUCAUGAGUCCGCAUGUUCACAUGAUUAAAGGUAUUCCGGUAGACGAUGGGGAUGCGUUCCAUUAGAUAGUAGGCGGGGUAACGGCCCACCUAGUCUUCGAUGGAUAGGGGUUCUGAGAGGAAGGUCCCCCACAUUGGAACUGAGACACGGUCCAAACUCCUACGGGAGGCAGCAGUGAGGAAUAUUGGUCAAUGGGCGAGAGCCUGAACCAGCCAAGUAGCGUGAAGGAUGACUGCCCUAUGGGUUGUAAACUUCUUUUAUAAAGGAAUAAAGUCGGGUAUGGAUACCCGUUUGCAUGUACUUUAUGAAUAAGGAUCGGCUAACUCCGUGCCAGCAGCCGCGGUAAUACGGAGGAUCCGAGCGUUAUCCGGAUUUAUUGGGUUUAAAGGGAGCGUAGAUGGAUGUUUAAGUCAGUUGUGAAAGUUUGCGGCUCAACCGUAAAAUUGCAGUUGAUACUGGAUAUCUUGAGUGCAGUUGAGGCAGGCGGAAUUCGUGGUGUAGCGGUGAAAUGCUUAGAUAUCACGAAGAACUCCGAUUGCGAAGGCAGCCUGCUAAGCUGCAACUGACAUUGAGGCUCGAAAGUGUGGGUAUCAAACAGGAUUAGAUACCCUGGUAGUCCACACGGUAAACGAUGAAUACUCGCUGUUUGCGAUAUACUGCAAGCGGCCAAGCGAAAGCGUUAAGUAUUCCACCUGGGGAGUACGCCGGCAACGGUGAAACUCAAAGGAAUUGACGGGGGCCCGCACAAGCGGAGGAACAUGUGGUUUAAUUCGAUGAUACGCGAGGAACCUUACCCGGGCUUAAAUUGCAGAUGAAUUACGGUGAAAGCCGUAAGCCGCAAGGCAUCUGUGAAGGUGCUGCAUGGUUGUCGUCAGCUCGUGCCGUGAGGUGUCGGCUUAAGUGCCAUAACGAGCGCAACCCUUGUUGUCAGUUACUAACAGGUUCCGCUGAGGACUCUGACAAGACUGCCAUCGUAAGAUGUGAGGAAGGUGGGGAUGACGUCAAAUCAGCACGGCCCUUACGUCCGGGGCUACACACGUGUUACAAUGGGGGGUACAGAGGGCCGCUACCACGCGAGUGGAUGCCAAUCCCCAAAACCUCUCUCAGUUCGGACUGGAGUCUGCAACCCGACUCCACGAAGCUGGAUUCGCUAGUAAUCGCGCAUCAGCCACGGCGCGGUGAAUACGUUCCCGGGCCUUGUACACACCGCCCG
rnacentral:rRNA from 1 species